rnacentral:rRNA from 1 species
AUGAAGAUUUUGUUCGCCCUAUUUCUCCUCGCUCUCACUGCAAGCAGUGCCUACGCACAGUGCAAAUUCGUUAUAUUGGUCACGACAGGAGAUAAAGAUGAUGCAGGCACCGACGCCCGUAUAUCUUUGGCAAGAAGCUGGAUGUUGCUCGAGUCUAAUGGUAAAGGUAACAAACCCGGUUGGUUUGUGGACAAAGUCACCUUCAUCCAAAUCGAGCAAAAAAAUUUGUCCCAAAAGGAGAAGACAUUCAACGUGAAUAGGUGGCUUGCACGCGAUGAGUCAUCGGGUACGCUCUUUGUGGUUGUGGAUGACUGUGCCAAGAUUCAACAUCUUAUUAAUCGCCAUUGCAUGCUUCACGUCACUGGGAUCUACCUUACCCCGCUUAUACUCCUCCACAAACCUCCCCACGCUCCUGAACGUCCUAACACCAACGUCCUUCUCCCUGGCCACCUCAAAAUCCACAAGCCACGGGAACACCACGCAGCUCACUUACUCCAAGCACGGGAACUAGUGGUCCGACUGCUCGAGAAGGCGAUCGAGGAUAUCGGCGGGAUCGGCAGCGGUGGAAUAGCAAUCGGAAGCAGCAGACAAUCGCAGCAGCUAUCCCUGGCGAGAUCGAAGUCGCAGCAAAACAGCUACGCGUGCGCAUGCGGGUGGCGUCGUGAGGCAGCGGCGGGUCGAUCGGGCGUGAGAAGCGCACAGAUGCAUGCGGAACGUGAUCCAGGUUGCCGGGCAGCGGGCAGCAGAGUCGAAGGCGGAUUGGGCCAGAGGGCAGCCCACGCAGCGGAACGUGGAUGGAACGCAGGCUGGCCAAGGCUGAUGAGUAGGGCCACGCGGGCGUGCUUCGUGCUGUCUAGGCGAGGUACGGACAAGGUCCAGGAGCGGAAAGCUGCACGAAGCGAGAGAUUUUGUUGA